ACGAACGCUGGCGGCAGGCCUAACACAUGCAAGUCGAACGAUAAGCUUCUUCGGAAGUGGACAGUGGCAGACGGGUGAGUAACGCGUGGGGAUCUGCCCAGAGGUUCGGGACAACCAUUGGAAACGAUGGCUAAUACCGAAUAAGCCCGUAAGGGGAAGAUUUAUUGCCUUUGGAUGAACCCGCGUAAGAUUAGCUAGUUGGUGAGGUAAUGGCUCACCAAGGCGACGAUCUUUAGCUGGUCUGAGAGGAUGAUCAGCCACAUUGGGACUGAGACACGGCCCAGACUCCUACGGGAGGCAGCAGUGGGGAAUCUUGC
rnacentral:rRNA from 1 species